rnacentral:rRNA from 1 species
AGAGCGAACGCUGGCGGCAGGCUUAACACAUGCAAGUCGAGCGGGCGUAGCAAUACGUCAGCGGCAGACGGGUGAGUAACGCGUGGGAACGUACCUUUUGGUUCGGAACAACCCAGGGAAACUUGGGCUAAUACCGGAUACGCCCGCAAGGGGAAAGAUUUAUCGCCGGAAGAUCGGCCCGCGUCUGAUUAGCUAGUUGGUGAGGUAACGGCUCACCAAGGCGACGAUCAGUAGCUGGUCUGAGAGGAUGAUCAGCCUCACUGGGACUGAGACACGGCCCAGACUCCUACGGGAGGCAGCAGUGGGGAAUAUUGGACAAUGGGCGCAAGCCUGAUCCAGCCAUGCCGCGUGGGUGAUGAAGGCCCUAGGGUUGUAAAGCCCUUUCGGCGGGGAAGAUAAUGACGGUACCGCAGAAGAAGCCCCGGCUAACUUCGUGCCAGCAGCCGC